CGUCAACGGCAGACAAACUAAAUCAAUCACAAAAUCUCUACCAAACAUAGAUAUAGGACACCGCAGACAAACAAGAGAAGUGGUUACUGAACCCUUAGCUGGAGUUUCAACAACCAUUUCCCCUUUCAUAUCAGAUACAUCCAAACCCAACUUAUAAGCACAUUCAAUAGCAAUAAAACAAUGAGUAGCACCAGUAUCAAUAAUAGCAAUUAAAGGAGUACUAUUAAAGAAACAAGUACCUCUGAUAAGUCGGUCCUCAUU
rnacentral:lncRNA from 1 species